UUCUUGUGAAAUUAUAAGAAGUAAUUCCUGCCCAGUGACUUACGUUUAACGGCCGCGGUAUCCUAACCGUGCAAAGGUAGCAUAAUCACUUGCCCAUUAAUUGUGGGCUAGAAUGAAAGGACUAACGAAAUAAAGACUGUCUCUAUAAGCCCCAUAAAAAUUAAUCUCUAACUGAAGAGUGUUAGAUAUAUUCGAAGGACAAGAAGACCCUAUAGAGCUUUAUUUUAAUAAAUGCCAAAAUUUUACUAAAAUUCGGUUGGGGCGACCUGGGAAGCAAUUAAUCAUCCCAUAAAAAUAGAUAAAUAAAUCUUAUAACUGACCCUUAACAAAGAUCAUCAGAACAAGCUACCUUAGGGAUAACAGGCUAAUCCCUCUAAAGAGUCCUUAUCAAUAGUGGGGGUUGGCACCUCGAUGUUGGCUUAGGAAAUCUAUAAGGCGCAAAAGUCUUAUAAAGAUGGUUUGUUCAACCAAUAAUAUCCUACAUGAGCUGAGUUCAGACCGGCGCAAGCCAGGUUAGUUUCUAUCCUCGAUAAAAACACCUAUUUAUAGUACGAAAGGACCUAAAUAAGGAUAAUAAUUAUACUUAAAGAAUACAUAUAAUGUAAAUUUUAAUGCACAACACAUAUACUAUG
rnacentral:rRNA from 1 species